rnacentral:tRNA from 1 species
GGUCUCGUAGCUCAGUUGGCUAGAGCGUUGGCUUUAAUAAAGCCUUCCCCUUGCUGAUGUUGGUUCGAAUCCCACCGAUGUCA